AGUGAACGCUGGCGGUAGGCCUAACACAUGCAAGUCGAACGGCAGCACAGGAGAGCUUGCUCUCUGGGUGGCGAGUGGCGGACGGGUGAGGAAUACAUCGGAAUCUGCCCAGUCGUGGGGGAUAACGUAGGGAAACUUACGCUAAUACCGCAUACGACCUUCGGGUGAAAGAGGGGGAUCGCAAGACCUCUCGCGAUUGGAUGAGCCGAUGUCGGAUUAGCUAGUUGGCGGGGUAAUGGCCCACCAAGGCGACGAUCCGUAGCUGGUCUGAGAGGAUGAUCAGCCACACUGGAAAUGAGACACGGUCCAGACCCCUUCGGGAGGCCGCAGGGGGGAAUAAUGGACAAUGGGCGCAAGCCUGAUCCAGCCAUACCCCGUUGGUGAAGAAGGCCUUCGGGUUUUUAAGGCCUUUUGUUGGGAAAGAAAUCUUUCAGGCUAAUACCCUGGGAGGAUGACGGUACCCAAAGAAUAAGCACCGGCUAACUUCGUG
rnacentral:rRNA from 1 species